rnacentral:rRNA from 1 species
GUGGGGAAUUUUGGACAAUGGGCGAAAGCCUGAUCCAGCCAUGCCGCGUGCAGGAUGAAGGCCUUCGGGUUGUAAACUGCUUUUGUACGGAACGAAAAGACUCCUUCUAAUAAAGGGGGUCCAUGACGGUACCGUAAGAAUAAGCACCGGCUAACUACGUGCCAGCAGCCGCGGUAAUACGUAGGGUGCAAGCGUUAAUCGGAAUUACUGGGCGUAAAGCGUGCGCAGGCGGUUAUAUAAGACAGAUGUGAAAUCCCCGGGCUCAACCUGGGAACUGCAUUUGUGACUGUAUAGCUAGAGUACGGUAGAGGGGGAUGUAAUUCCGCGUGUAGCAGUGAAAUGCGUAGAUAUGCGGAGGAACACCGAUGGCGAAGGCAAUCCCCUGGACCUGUACUGACGCUCAUGCACGAAAGCGUGGGGAGCAAACAGGAUUAGAAACCCUUGUAGUCC